GUAGGUGAACCUGCGGAAGGAUCAUUAACACUUUUAUGUGCCUACUAAACUAAACCGGUGACCAAACCUGCUCGUGGGUUAGCUGUAGAGGUUGUAAUGGCCUUUGCUCUUGCUUCGCGAGGAUAAAUAAACUUUUAAUUUAACAAUAACUUUUGUAUUACUAACCUAAUUUGCUGGUCUCCAAGCCAGUAAAUAAAAAACGCUAACAACUCUUAGCAGUGGAUAUCUUGGUUCUC
rnacentral:misc_RNA from 1 species